AACUGGGGCUAAUACCGGAUAGGAGCUCCUGCUGCAUGGUGGGGGUUGGAAAGUUUCGGCGGUUGGGGAUGGACUCGCGGCCUAUCAGCUUGUUGGUGGGGUAGUGGCUUACCAAGGCUUUGACGGGUAGCCGGCCUGAGAGGGUGACCGGCCACAUUGGGACUGAGAUACGGCCCAG
rnacentral:rRNA from 1 species